rnacentral:rRNA from 1 species
AAGCAUCUUCGGAUGUGUAUAAAGUGGCGAACGGCUGAGUAACACGUGGGCAACCUGCCCUUUGCACUGGGAUAGCCUCGGGAAACCGAGGUUAAUACCGGAUACUCCAUAUUUGUCGCAUGGCGAAUAUGGGAAAGCUCCGGCGGCAAAGGAUGGGCCCGCGGCCUGUUAGCUAGUUGGUGGGGUAGUGGCCUACCAAGGCAAUGAUGGGUAGCCGGGUUGAGAGACCGACCGGCCAGAUUGGGACUGAGACACGGCCCAGACUCCUACGGGAGGCAGCAGUGGGGAAUCUUGCACAAUGGGCGAAAGCCUGAUGCAGCGACGCCGCGUGCGGGAUGAAGGCCUUCGGGUUGUAAACCGCUUUCAGCAGGGACGAGGGCCGCAAGGUGACGGUACC